CUCCAUAUCUCUUUAUAUCAUUCUUCUUUUUCUUCUUUUUUUCUUUUCAUAAAGACAAGUGUUUAAAAUCUUCCACUAAUUUUUCUCACCUUCUCUUGGCUUGGAAGGUCAGAUUGGUUGAGCUAAGCACAAGUUCGUUGCAACCAUUAGCUGCAUACAUGUAUCCUCCAUUUAUUCAAAUCUAUUUCUUGCAAAGAAC
rnacentral:lncRNA from 1 species